UACGGGGGGAGCAAGCGUUGUUCGGAAUCACUGGGCGUAAAGGGCGUGUAGGCGGUUCGGUAAGUGGGAUGUGAAAUCCCCGGGCUCACCCCGGGACCUGCAUCCCAGACUGCUGAGCUUGAGUACAGGAGAGGGUGGGGGAAUUCCAGGUGUAGCGGUGAAAUGCGUAGAUAUCUGGAGGAACACCGGUGGCGAAGGCGCCCACCUGGCCUGCUACUGACGCUGAUGCGCGAAAGCGUGGGGAGCAAACAGG
rnacentral:rRNA from 1 species